rnacentral:lncRNA from 1 species
GUUGAAGUUCUUUCUGAAAUAGCCACAGAUUAUUUUAUCUGUAGGUACAAAAAGAUGAAUGUAAGGAAAUAGGGAAGUGUUUUGCUAUAAAUCAUUACCUGCGUUAAUUACAAAUAAGGCUAAGAGUGCACAGUAUCAACUAUAUGAGGGCGUAUAUGCAUUUUUCCUGUUUAAGAAGAGCAUGUGGUAAAAUUUUGGGGUCUUGGGUUACUUAGAAUAUUAUACUAGUAUUUCUUUGUGCUUUGCUCAUUUCUAUCAUGAUCAAGUGAUUCUUUUUUUUUUUUUUUUCUGUCUCUCUUUUGGGUGCCACGAAUCAAACUUAGGGCCUUGUGCUUGCGGCAGGUGUUGCGCUGCUGAGCUACAUCCCUGGCCCAAUGCAGUGGUUCUUGGUAACUUGACUGUCUUCAAGAUGUCUCAGAUAAUGUCUGUGCAUCCUGUGGAAAGCUCUGAACACUCUGUAAAUAUAACUUACACCAAAAGUUCAGGAAUAAAACAAAAGUUUAACAUGGGUAGAUUUUGAAUGAAAAGACAGGAAAUUAAAUAUUAAUCUAAUUUUUCUUAACAAAGCAUUGUAGAAAUGCUUCGUAAGAAAGCACUGUCAAGAAAAGUAAAGGCCCAAAGAAGCAAUUUGUGUUUCUAAUUGUGACAAUUUUAAGUGUUAUAAAAAGGAGUUAGUGGCAGUGUUAUUGAGUGUCUUGAAGACGGUCUCUCCUUAACUCUCUCUAGGACUCUGUUAGCGAUGGUUACUGAGUCUCUGAACCUGGGAAAGCAUAUUAGAUCCUGAAGUGUGUUGUCCCUGGUGCUAUGGGUGCUGACCUGCUCUUUCCGGGCCUUUCUUUCCUUCCUGUCAGUUGGGUUGUAUGACUCACCUGUAAUCAUGUUUCCCCACCACUGUUGGAAGGGAUGGGCCACAGGUCACCAUCACUUUCCAUGUAUCCUUAUGUCCCUUUCCUUUGGCAGGUCACUGAUCCGGAGCGGCCGCUCUCAUUUGGUGUUACCCUGGGGGAGCUUAGUCUACUGACUACAAAUGAGAAUUGGACUCCAUGCAUAUUAAAUGAAGCAGAAAAAAUUAUAUACAAGCUAAUCCGACUGGAUAGUCUCAGUGCUUACUGGAAUGUGAACUGCCGCCUGUCCUACCAGGGGUCCCGAGAACAGAUCUUGGAUCAACUGAAAAAUGAAAUUCUUACAAGUAGACAGAGACCUCCAAACCAUCAAUACAUUUUCCAGCCAAUAUCAGCCUCUGCAAAACUCUACAUGAAUCCUCAUGCAGAAGCAGAACUCAAAACUCCCAAAUUAGAUUGGAGCAUAGAAGUGCAGAAUAUUGCCAUUGAGCUGACCAAGCCCCAGUACUUAAGUAUGAUUGACCUUUUGGAAUCGUUGGAUUAUAUGGUUAGAAAUGUACCUUAUAGGAAAUAUAAACCUAAUUUACCACUUCAUACCAAUUGUAGGCAAUGGUGGAAGUAUGCCAUUGAUUCAGUUCUUGAAGUUCAUAUAAGAAGAUGUACACAGAUGUGGUCAUGGUGUAACAUAAAGAAGCAUAGAGAGUUACUCAAGAGUUAUAAAAUCGCUUACAAGAAUAAGCUAACUCAGACUAAACUCUCGGAAGAAAUCCAGAAACAAAUUCAGGACCUGGAGAAGACUUUAGAUGUUUUUAACAUAAUUUUAGCAAGGCAACAAGCACAAGUCGAGGUGAUUCGAUCUGGGCAGAAACUUAGGAAGAAAUCCACUGACACAGGGGAGAAACGGGGAGGCUGGUUUAGUGGGUUUUGGGGUAAGAAGGAGUCUAAGAAAAAAGGUGAAGAAUCAUUGAUUCCUGAAACUAUUGAUGAUCUUAUGACCCCUGAGGAGAAGGACAAACUAUUCACUGCUAUUGGUUACAGCAGGAGCAUGCAUAACUUGACUUUGCCCAAGAAGUAUGUUGCCUAUAUAAUGACCUUGAAGUUGGUAAGCACUUCUAUUGUAAUCAGAGAAAACAAAAAUAUUCCUGAAAUCCUAAAAAUCCAGAUCAUUGGCCUGGGCACCUGUUGGGAGCCGCGUCUGUGAUAGCUCGCCUUGCGCGGCGGACGUGCGGCCUGUGGUAAAGAGCAAAGCCUGAGGUAGAUUACCCCUCCCAUCGAAUAUGUUAGUUUCCUGCUUACCGCGUAAACAACCCGCUCAACAAUAUAGUCUGCCUGGCAACUGAUGAUGUUAGCCAAUCAGCUUGCCUUGCUUACUUUAACAUGAUUGGACACUGUACCCGUAUAUAUACCGGUGCCACCCCUGGGCGGAAGAAGAAGCCAGGUAGAAGCCUGGAAGUAGAAGCCCAGAAGGAGCCGCGGAGAGCGGACCGG